rnacentral:rRNA from 1 species
UCAACCCGGAGGAAGGUGGGGAAGACGUCAAGUCCUCAUGGCCCUUAUGUCCUGGGCUACACACGUGCUACAAUGGGUCGGUACAAGCGCUGCGAAGCCGCAAGGUGGAGCGAAUCGCAAAAAGCCGGCCUCAGUACGGAUUGCACUCUGCAACUCGAGUGCAUGAAGUCGGAAUUGCUAGUAAUCGUCGAUCAGCAGGCGACGGUGAAUACGUUCCCGGGCCUUGUACACACCGCCCGUCACACCAUGGAAGUCGAGUGCUCCAGAAGUGGCCACGCUAACCCGCAAGGGAGGCAGGUCCCCAAGGAGUGUUUGGUAACUGGGGUGAAGUCGUAACAAGGUAAA